GGGCCCGUGAGGUAGUUUGGAUAUCCUAUUGGCCUUCGGAGCCAGUUACCAGGGUUCGAAUCCCUGCGGGUCCG
rnacentral:tRNA from 1 species